rfam:Capsicum annuum cultivar Zunla-1 chromosome 3, whole genome shotgun sequence
CAAUCAGCUUUUCUAAAAGCUACAGCACUGAGAAAUAAUCUCAGCCU